CGUGUCGUGCCGUUGGCCAUGGAGGAGCGGGGCGCCGGGCAUGUGAUGCGGGUGCUGGACAUGCACACGGGCGGAGAGCCGCUGCGUAUCAUCACCGGCGGCUUCCCGGCCGUGCCCGGGCCCGACCUGCUCAGCAAGCGGCGCUACAUCCGUGAGCGGCUGGACGGGCUGCGGCGCCGGCUGAUGCUGGAGCCCCGCGGCCACCGCGACAUGUACGGCGCGCUGCUGGUGGGCUCGGAGCUGCCCGACGCGCACCUCGCCGUCCUCUUCAUGCACAACCAGGGCUACAGCACCAUGUGCGGCCACGCCAUGAUGGCCCUCGGCCGCUACGCCGUGGACUACGGUUUGGUCGCCCAGCCCAGCUCCCCCGAGACGCAGGUCAACAUCCACUGCCCUUGUGGCCUGGUCCGGGCCUACGUCCAAUACGAGGGCGGCAAGAGCGGCCGCGUCCGCUUCCACAGCGUCCCUGCCUUCGUCUUCGCCACAGAUAUUCCAGUUGAUGUGCCAGGACAUGGGAAGAUCGUAGUGGAUGUUGUAUACGGAGGUGCUUUUUAUGCAUUUGUGAGUGCAGAUUGUUUUGGUUUGGAUGUUUGUUCCUCCAAAACACGAGACCUUGUCGAUGCAGCAGUAGCUGUCACUAAUGCCGUGAAAGCACGGGUCAAACUGCACCACCCUGAUAGUGAAGAUCUUGCCUUUCUCUACGGCACCAUAAUUACUGAUGGCAAAGAUGAAUUUUCUAAAGAACCAACUGCAAAUGUCUGUGUUUUUGCAGAUGCUCAGGUGGACAGGAGUCCCUGUGGCUCAGGUGUGACAGCUCGUAUUGCAUUGCAAUAUCACAAAGGAUUGAUUCUCCUGAAUCAGACCAGGACAUUUCAAAGUGGUUUAACUAACUCAAUAUUCACUGGGAAAGCUGUUGAGGAAACAAAAUGUGGCGAUUUCAAAGCUGUUGUAGUGGAAAUAUCGGGACAAGCACAUUACACAGGAACAGCAAACUUUUAUGUGGAAGAUGAUGAUGAUCUCAAAGAUGGGUUCCUUCUCCGAUAAAGUAUUGUAAACAAAUUAUAAUUUGUACUUAACCCAUCUCUGUGGGUAACGUGUUUUCAGAAUACAAAUUAGAUAAAACAUGAGUCUUAGUACUGUCUUGAGUUUAAACGCUAUAACGAAAAACUCUUUCCAUGUAACCUCCCCACAGUAAUCAAGCACCAUUACCUCAUAAGAACACGGAUGCUACUUUAACCGUGUGAGGUCAUUAGAAAUUAAUAACCAACCACUUCUAUUAACACGUGCAAUAACACUUUGUUAAACAAUGCAACAUACGGUCUUAGUAUUUUUAGCUCGCAGUAAUAAAAAUAACUAUUUUGUUAUUGAAAAGACCUUUAUAUUUGCAAUCCUUCAAGAAAAACUCUUUAGCCUCUAAUUCUCUUUCCCCUACUGACAAUUAGCUUUCGAACACAAUUUCCAAUAACAGGGAGUUUCUUAGGAAUGCAAUUAUUGCAUUUGUGGCAGAACUACAUGUAUUAUUUUAAAGCCCUAGAUCUUAUUAAAUGUAAUUUAGCUUUCUAUCUGAAUUUUAUAUCAAGACAUUUAACUCAGAAUUUGUCAAUAUAAUUAAGUUCAUAUUAUGUAAAUGCUUAGGUCCGAUAGAUCAUGUUUAAAUAUUUAUGAAUAUGGAAUCUAAAUGUUAUCCUAUAUUUCAUUCUGAGUGAAUCCUAAACUGAUAUCUCAACCCCUUUAGCUUUUAGUCUAUAUUAAAAUUAUAUUAUCUCAAUGAUACUAAUUGUAAAGACUCAAAGAAAAGUUCUAAUUACUGUAUUAACCUUUGUAC